AUAAACCUACUCUUUUGGUUUGAAUCAUUUCUUUUAAGAAAAAGCAAGAUAGGGAUGCUAGUUUUGGGUUUUUUUGUUUGCUUGUUUUUGUUAUUUUGUAAUGGAGCACCGAAAUAUUAUCAGGAAAAGAAAAGUUUGCUCCCAGAAGAGACAAGCACAUUUUUAAACAUGCAACUAUUAUUUAUUCUCAUUAAACAGGUUUUUCCCCCUCUCAUACAAUUGGAAUGUCUUCCCCCUCCCCUUCCCCACCCAAUCACAAUAUAGUCAAAGUCGAAUGGCUAUGAAAAAGACUAUGAAAAAUGUUGCAGGUAGAGAUCCAUUUGCAGCUGAUUUGUAACUACGAGGAUGUGAUUUUGGAGAAGCAUCACUUUCUUCUUUCUGAAAUGAAUAUCCACCCUGAUUAGCAAUCGAGUCGCAGCACUAAACCAUUCUCUCCAGGUAAGGCUAGUGUAGGACAUUCAGUCUUCACUUAUAGAGAAGCUGGAACAUUCUGGAUGGGUCCUUGAAUGGCAAUAGCUUCAAUCUCAACCCGGGCACCUUUUGGCAAAGCAGCAACCUGAAAGGAUACUCUGGAUGGGCAGUUUGAUUUGAAAAAUUGUCCGUAAAUUUCAUUCAUAUCAUUGAAGUCCUUAAUGUCUGCCAGAAAAACUGUGGUCUUCACAACAUUGCUAUAGUCACAGCCUGCAGCUUUCAGGAUUUCUCCCAAAUUUUUAAACGCCUGCUUAGUUUCUUCCUUUAUACCUCCAGAGACAAGCUGCCCAUUGGAAGGUUCUAUACCUAUCUGUCCUGCAAUGUACAUGGUCCGGUCUACAAGCACUGCUUGGCUGUAGGCACCCAGUGGCGCAGGAGCCUUAGCAGUGCUGAUGAUUUUCCUUACCACAGAAGCCAUAACGACAAUCACACUCCACCUCCCUCCC
rnacentral:lncRNA from 1 species